rfam:Myotis lucifugus cont2.38559, whole genome shotgun sequence.
CGUGCACCAGUGGGGUCCCUCAGCCUGGCCUGUGGGAUCAGGCCAAAACCACUCUCUGACAUCCCCUGAGGGGUGCCAGAUUGCAAGAGGGUGCAGGCCAGGCUGAGGGACCCCACUAGUGCACA